rnacentral:rRNA from 1 species
UUGAACGCUGGCGGCACGCCUAACACAUGCAAGUCGAGCGGUAGCAUGAGUAGUAGCAAUACUACUUGAUGACGAGCGGCGGACGGGUGAGGAACACGUAGGAACCUACCCUCAAGCGGGGAACAACCAAGGGAAACUUUGGCUAAUACCGCAUAAUCUCGAGAGAGAAAAGCUGCAGCAACGUGGCACUUGAGGAGGGGCCUGCGUCCGAUUAGCUAGUUGGUGGGGUAAGAGCUCACCAAGGCGAUGAUCGGUAACUGGUCUGAGAGGACGACCAGUCACACUGGGACUGAGACACGGCCCAGACUCCUACGGGAGGCAGCAGUAGGGAAUUUUCCACAAUGGGCGCAAGCCUGAUGGAGCGACGCCGCGUGCAGGAUGAAGGCCUUCGGGUCGUAAACUGCUUUUAUUUGGGAAGAUUAUGACGGUACCGAAUGAAUAAGGGUUUGCUAACUCCGUGCCAGCAGCCGCGGUCAUACGGAGGACCCAAGCGUUACCCGGAAUUACUGGGCGUAAAGCGUUGCGUAGGCGGUUUGGUAAGUCGUUGUGUGAAAUCCACAGGCUCAACUUGUGGGCUCCACACGAAACUAUCAGACUAGAGAAUGGUAGAGGCGAGUGGAAUUUCCAGUGUAGGAGUGAAAUCCGUAGAUACUGGAAGGAACACCGAUGGCGUAAGCAGCUCGCUGGGCCAUUUCUGACGCUGAGGCACGAAAGCGUGGGUAGCGAACCGGAUUAGAUACCCGGGUAGUCCACGCCGUAAACGAUGGAUGCUAGCUGCUGGGGGUAUCGACCCCCUCGGUAGCGAAGCUAACGCGUUAAGCAUCCCGCCUGUGGAGUACGAGCGCAAGCUUAAAACAUAAAGGAAUUGACGGGGACCCGCACAAGCGGUGGAGCGUGUGGUUUAAUUCGAUGGUACGCGAAGAACCUUACCAGGGCUUGACAUCCUCGGAAUCCCGUAGAAAUACGGGAGUACCCGCAAGGGACCGAGAGACAGGUGAUGCAUGGCCGUCGUCAGCUCGUGUCGUGAGAUGUAGGGUUAAGUCCCUUAACGAGCGCAACCCUCGUCGCAAGUUAGAUUUGUCUUGUGAGACUGCCCCGGUAACGGGGAGGAAGGAGAGGAUGACGUCUGGUCCGCAUUUCCCUUAUGCUCUGGGCCACACACGCUACAAUGGCCGGUACAAUGGGUCGCUACGGUCGCGAGACUUUAGCUAAUCCUUGUAAAAGCCGGUCUCAGUUCGGAUUGUAGGCUGAAACUCGCCUGCAUGAAGCCGGAAUCGCUAGUAACCGUGGGUCAGCACACCACGGUGAAUACGUUCCCGGGUCUUGUACACACCGCCCGUCAAAGCACGAAAGUUGGCAAUACCUGAAGCUGUUUUUUUGACAUCCAAGGUAGGGCCAGCGAUUGGGCUU